CAAGCCCGAGCUUCCACAAGUUCUUCAACAAUUGCUUGAAUUUUGACUUUUCAGUCUUAAGUCACAGCCCCCACUGAGUAGCAUCAUCCUGUGUGACCAAUAGGAGUCAUCCGAAAUGAUGGAAUGUGACUUCUGAAGCUAGAUCAUCAUCAGGUACUGUGUCUUCCCGGUCCUUUCUCGUCCUGCCCACUCUGGGGGAAUUUGGCUGCUUGUUACGAGGACACUCCAUCAGUCCUAAGGAGAGGUCUGUGUGGUAAGGGACCAAGGCCUUCAUUCUCCGUCCUCCAACAAGAACUUGCCAGUCGUGUGAAUGAGCCAUCUUGGAAGUGGAUCUCCAACCCCUAAUUUUGACUUCCCUGGUGGUCCAGUGGCUAAGAAUGUGCCUGCCAAUGCCAAGGACAAGGGUUCCAUCCCUGGUCCAGGAAGAUUCCACGUGCUGCAGGGCAACUAAGCCUGUGUGCCACAAUGACUGCAGCCCGAGCCCAGAACCUGUGCUUUGAAGCAAGAGAAGACACCGAAAUGGGAAGCCCAUGCACUGCAACAAAGUGUAGCCCCCACUCACUGCAGCUAGAGAGAGCCCAAGGCAGCAAGAAGGCCCAGCACAACUAUAAGUAAACAAAUAAAUACAAUGUUUAAAAAUAAUAAAAAUAAACAUUUAAACA